UUAAAUUGAAGAGUUUGAUCAUGGCUCAGAUUGAACGCUGGCGGCAGGCCUAACACAUGCAAGUCGAACGGUAACAGGAAGCAGCUUGCUGCUUUGCUGACGAGUGGCGGACGGGUGAGUAAUGUCUGGGAAACUGCCUGAUGGAGGGGGAUAACUACUGGAAACGGUAGCUAAUACCGCAUAACGUCGCAAGACCAAAGAGGGGGACCUUCGGGCCUCUUGCCAUCGGAUGUGCCCAGAUGGGAUUAGCUUGUUGGUGGGGUAACGGCUCACCAAGGCGACGAUCCCUAGCUGG
rnacentral:rRNA from 1 species